rnacentral:rRNA from 1 species
CUGUAGAGGGGGGUAGAAUUUCAGGUGUAGCGGUGAAAUGCGUAGAGAUCUGAAGGAAUACCAGUGGCGAAGGCGGCCCCCUGGACAGAUACUGACACUCAGAUGCGAAAGCGUGGGGAGCAAACAGGAUUAGAUACCCUGGUAGUCCACGCCGUAAACGAUGUCUACUUGGAGGUUGUGGCCUUGAGCCGUGGCUUUCGGAGCUAACGCGUUAAGUAGACCGCCUGGGGAGUACGGUCGCAAGAUUAAAACUCAAAUGAAUUGACGGGGGCCCGCACAAGCGGUGGAGCAUGUGGUUUAAUUCGAUGCAACGCGAAGAACCUUACCUACUCUUGACAUCCAGAGAAGCCAGCGGAGACGCAGGUGUGCCUUCGGGA